GAAGGGUACUGCGGAGGACAUUA
rnacentral:rRNA from 1 species